rnacentral:rRNA from 1 species
CAGUCGAGCGGUAAGGCUCCUUCGGGAGUACACGAGCGGCGAACGGGUGAGUAACACGUGAGCAAUCUGCCCUUCUCAUCGGAAUAACCAUUGGAAACGAUGGCUAAUGCCGAAUAUGACCUCGGAUCACAUGUUCUGAGGUGGAAAGCUCCGGCGGAGAAGGAUGAGCUCGCGGCCUAUCAGCUUGUUGGUGAGGUAAUGGCUCACCAAGGCAUUGACGGGUAGCCGGCCUGAGAGGGUGACCGGCCACACUGGGACUGAGACACGGCCCAGACUCCUACGGGAGGCAGCAGUGGGGAAUAUUGGACAAUGGGCGAAAGCCUGAUCCAGCAACGCCGCGUGAGGGAUGACGGCCUUCGGGUUGUAAACCUCUUUCAGCAGGGACGAAGCGAAAGUGACGGUACCUGCAGAAGAAGGACCGGCCAACUACGUGCCAGCAGCCGCGGUAAUACGUAGGGUCCGAGCGUUGUCCGGAAUUAUUGGGCGUAAAGGGCUCGUAGGCGGUUUGUCGCGUCGGGAGUGAAAACUCAGGGCUCAACCCUGAGCGUGCUUCCGAUACGGGCAGACUAGAGGUAUGCAGGGGAGAACGGAAUUCCUGGUGUAGCGGUGGAAUGCGCAGAUAUCAGGAGGAACACCGGUGGCGAAGGCGGUUCUCUGGGCAUUACCUGACGCUGAGGAGCGAAAGCAUGGGGAGCGAACAGGAU